GGAAAAUCUGUAAUGUUUGGAGAAGACAAGAUGGCGCUGGUUACCUCGUGUUAUAUCAAACGGCAUUUUUGUUCACAAAUACCCGCUUAUUUUACAUUAUAGCGACUGGUUCGUUUUGGAAAUUAUAACUCAAUGGACGGGGAAAAUGAUUCUGUAUUAAAGAGAAAAUGAUGUGCAGUUAUUGUGAUGUUAUUUGUUGUGAAAGACGGCCCGAAAUUUCGCUACUUCGCGGUACUGGUUUAUAAAACAUUUACAAGCAACAGCAAAUGAAAUAUAUGACAAAGAAACCAAUGUAUACAAGCCAAUCAAGUUCUUCAGUUUAAAGGUCUGUUUACUUUUUAGUAAUUAGUUCAUUUAGUUGUACAUUAAUUAAUUUAACCCAGACUGUAAAGUUUGGCCUGCGCGGGGAACGCGUUUUAGCUGAAUUUCUGUCCGCGCAUUUUCAACAAAAUCCUACAAAAUCUUCACAUUUUUGAUGAACUGAUGAUUUAUUUUGUCUCUUAUGUGCUGGGCCUUGCAAAAAGAGGUAGAGAAAACUCUGAAAAUGCCAUUUCAGACCAUCUAGAGACCCCAAAUUUUCGAAAUUUUCUCAAAUGUUCUGCCUUCAUUUCCGCGUAACUGCCUUUUACGACGAAAAGUUCCCCGCGCAAAAAUAAUACUUUACAGUCUGGAAUUUAACCAGACUGGAAAGUUUGUAAAAUGCGCGGCGGAGAUCGAAAUUUGCCCGUUUUUUGCGCGGCCAGAUGGCGAAAUUUGCGCGGGCAACUAGGGCGUGGUCAACUAGGGCGUGGUCAAUUCAUCUCCAGGGCCCCGCCCGAUGCGAUUUCUUAUUAGUACCUUUUUGUUCCAACAUUAUCUAUUAAACAAUAAAUUACUACGAAGUAAAUACAUUAAUAUCAGUAUUUAUAAGCAUGUGUAAUUGAAUCUAUAAUCCCGAAAUUUCGCUACUUCGCGGUACUGGUUUAUAAAACAUUUACAAGCAACAGCAAUUGAACUAUAUGACAAAGAAACCAAUGUAUACAAGCCAAUCAUGUUCUUCAGUUUAAAGGUCUGUUUACUUUUUAGUAAUUAGUUCAUUUAGUUGUACAUUAAUACCAGACUGGAAAGUUUGUAAAAUGCGCGGCGGAGAUCGAAAUUUGAACCGACAUAAAAAUCACGACAUAAGUAUUCGUCAUUGUCUUCGUCAUCAACUGUUCAAGAACUUUCUUACAGUAUUAAAAAUCACUUACAUAUAAAAUUUGUAAUUGUUUUAAAAGUUUUUAUCACAGUUUUUAUAUCUUUAUUCACUUUUAACCUGAAGAUGGAGUUAUACUCCGAAACGUAGUUAUUAAAAUAAUUUUUUACUGAGCCCAUAUGGUCUAAUUUAUAUUCAAACACACGUACAUAUUCAUUUACAUUUUGCUGGCAGGCAAAUUCCCAUCACACAAUAAAUUCUUUAAAAAAUAACGUACCAGUGUAUUGACUAAAAACAAAAACUGGUAAACUAAAAAACAAUUCAAACAAUCGCGAAAAAUGGCAACGGCAAAGUCACAGUUAAUUUGCAUUUGUGCAUCCAGAACGACAGUACGACACAAUAUAUUUGAAAAAGUGAUUCUUUUCUCCACACGGGUAUUUUUAGUUCACUGGGUAUACCAGAAGCGUAACUCAAGCAAGUAUUUGUUUUUACAAGCGAUUCGUCAUCAAUCACGCCAUCCUGGCUAGUACAACCGGCACUUUGGACCUACCAAAACCAGUGAACUCUCUAUAUAUAUAUAUAUCUGGAAUGAUAACAGCGAGCGAAAAGUGAAGCUGACAAAAAAAAUCAUGACAUAAGUAUUUGUCAUUGUCUUCGUCAUCAACUGUUCAAGAACAAUCACUUACAUAUAAAAUUUGUAAUUGUUUUGAAAGUUUUUAUCACAGUUUUUAUGUCUUUAUUCACUUUUAACCUGAAGAUGGAGUUAUACUCCGAAACGUAGUUAUUAAAAUAAUUUUUUACUAAGCCCAUAUGGUCUAAUUUAUAUUCAAACACACGUACAUAUUCAUUUACAUUUUGCUGGCAGGCAAAUUCCGAUCACACAAUAAAUUCUUUAAAAAAUAACUAUAAAACUGGUAAACUAAAAAACAAUUCAAACAAUCGCAAAAAAUGGCAAAGUCACAGUUGCAAGUCAAUUUACCUACCUGUGAAAUGAAAUUUUCCUCGCAAGAAUAUCUCUUUCCUUGUGCAUCCAGAACGACAGUACGACACAAUAUAUUUGAAAAAGUGAUUCUUUUCUCCACACGGGGAAGUUUUCCUUGACUUUUUUCCGACAGCGAACUCAAUGCAGUAAAUUUUAGGAGCAAAACAGUUUGCUCCUAAAAUGUAUUGCAUUGAAUUGGCCAUGUUUGGUUUUGCUAUUUGUACUGACUACUGUAGUCGGAAUAUUUAAGAUAAGGUAUGGAUAAACAGACCCCAACCCCUUCCCUAACCAAUAAAUGUGUAAUGAACUAUUUGAGAGUUAGAAAGGUCGGGGGGGGAUUUACAAAUAUUUUAAGAAACAUUUCUACGGGGCUGUUUAUAUGGAAGCAUGCCUUAGCAGGGCUGGCCCGCUAAACGAGAUAGCCCGGUAAGCGGGAUGAAUUUUGCUUGCGUUUAUGAGAUUUUAUCCUGCUUGCUGUGCUAGAAAUUGUUUACAUUGCACUCAAUAGGCAAUUCCAGCUUUUAGUUUAUGCCUGCAGGGGAUGAUGGGAAGUAAGGUAUCAUAGUGCUGAUUAUGCUGAAAAAUUUCAAUAAAAACAACCGAAAUAUUUCAAUAUUUACAAAUAUAAGCUAUCACCAUGUGUUUACACGGCCACCAUUUUUAUUUUUUCAGCAUAAUCAGCAAUGUGAUACCUUAUUUCCCAUCGUCCCCUGCACGCAUAAACUAAAAGCUGGAAUUGCCUAUUGGCUUUCCCAAUUUCAAAAUUAAUUUUUGCUUCAAAACUCGCUAUUUUGUAAACAUUACAGCUAUUGAAGCACAGCUUAGAUAGAGACAGGAAGUUUUACCUCGCAGUUUGAUCGUUGAAACGCACAAGUUACCAAGGGCAAAUUCAUGGGAAAUUUAGGCACUUUCGGUUCAAUGGGUUGUUCCAGAAAAGAUCCAUACCCCCCAUGCUGUCCGAAGGGGGAGUGAGGAAAAAUGUCUUAGGAUGUCCGAGGGGGGAGGAAAUGCGGAUAUAAGAUUGUCCGAAGGUUUUAGACAGUGAUAAAGCUAUGUGAUCGGCGAUUAUAAUGAGCACGCAAUUUUUAUCGGCUAUAGCCCUUAAAAACUGGAACGUUUAUGUAACAGCAAUAAUUAUACGUCCACGUAACUCGUAAGCAAAAUAGCGGCCCACUUUUGCAUGCAUGGCCACCAAAAACUAACUCGCUGUAACAGUGUAUCAUAUAAAAUUUACACACUUUAUUUAUAUAAAAGUAAAGUUUUGCAGUUUUUGUAUGUAUAAGUUUGAAUUAUUCAAGUGUUAAAAAUAAUAGUUAUUAAACUGUUGCUUGAAUUAAGAGACUGCUAUGUGAACUAAACUCAAUAUUUAGAAUAUUUAGUUUCAGUAUAUAGUCAAUAAAGCUUCCUUGCGAUGUGUGUGCCUAGAAAAUAGAAAUGGCUGUCAUAUUAAGGGCGAGGUUAAGGAAUGCAGUAAUACUAAAAAAUGCAUUAACAUGUAAGUAAAACACAGCAACGCUUCUCAAUCAGUCGCAAGUUACAUUGAAUUUCAGUCCGAAUUUUACUUGAUCGAAUUUCGAAGUGAAUUUCUGCAAAUUAUCCACCAAAAUCUGGCAUGUGUUUGUGUUCACAAGAAGCCGCCAAGUGUUCCACCACCACGGCGGAGCUAUUUGACAACAAUGUAGAAAAGUCACAAUAAGCCAUCGCUUUCACACUAUGCUGGAGCGAAAUAGUUUGAAAACUUUCACGACGCCUUUGCCAAAUACGCUACCAGCCUGAAUUGCUGAAAGCUGUUGCAAAAAACUGUUUUAUAUUACUACUUUACAAAAUGUAAUAAUUGGAUGCUAUACUUCAGUUCUUGUAUGAUAGUGCUUAUAAAUAAUUAUUAAUAUCGAAUUAAUAAUCAUUAUAGUUCUUAAUAAUUAUUUAUAAGCACUAUCAUACAAGAAAUGUCAAGAAUGAAUUUUCCUUCAAUGGUGGUUUUUUAUCCGUCAAAAGUUUAAUAUAUAUAGUUUUGACGAGAGAAAUGUUUCUCAACAAUUUUCAGAAAGUUUUACAAGAUUUUGGGGCUUGUUUUGAGUUGGGCUAUUCCAUUUAAAAGAUGUAACCCCCUAUCAAGGACAAUGGUUUUACCAUAUCUCUGAAGAAUUCCUGACAUAAAAGAGAUCCCCUGAAGAAUUCCUGUUACCCCUGAAGAAUUACAAUUUUUACAUCUGACCCCUAAAGGAAUUGCAUUUGAAAUAACCAACCCCUGAAGAAUUCCACAGGAGAAUUUGUUUACCCAUGAGGAAUUCCGGAGUUAAAAAGGGAGAUUAUGGAUAUUAAAUGGAAUAGCCAAUUUUCUGGAAAAUUUCCUGGUUGUUUUCCCUGCAGCUUGUUUAUAAACAUGCUUGUUUAUCUAUAGCAUCAUUUGUAGAAAAGGUGUUGAAAGCAUUUUUUGAAAGCAAUGACGUAUUAUCAAAUAUGACAAAUGAUCAUGCGAGCGACACUUGCUAGGAAGAUGGCGACUGUGGGACAACUAUAUAAUAGUUUUGUUUGUGGAAACACCACAUAAAUUUAUUACUGCAAAGCUUUCGAUCCGUAAGCCCGGAUCUUCAUCAAUGCUAAUAUGUGACUUGUUUAAUUCACACGCCCUUUUUAUAUACAAAAAAUGUCUUGAUCUGUUGGCUCACAUAUUAUUUAGCACUGAUGAAGAUCCGGGCUUACAGAUCGAAAGCUUGGCAGUAAUAAAUUUACGUGGUGUUUCCACAAACAAAACUAUUAUAUGUUUUAUCGCCAUGCAAACAUACAAAGAACUUAUUGUGGGACAACUUUUUUACUGAAGUUAUACAUCUGUCUUCACUUAAUCUGUGGCUCAGCUGGCUAGACCUUGAUUCUUGCCUGUGGUCCCCUUUGCAUUUGACCCAAAUGUUUCGGUCAUUUUAUAUUUGCCAAUAUAAAUCUUUUUGGCAUAGAAAUUAUACAUUUGGAAUAAUAAUUUUGUAUGCUGCAUUCAAUCUAUUCUCCAUUCAGGGAGAUUCUUUUGUAAAUACCCACACCAAUCAGAAGUCUGUAUUUUUAUGCUAAAACAGAAAUUGGCAUCCCAGAGAGUAAAUUAUAUUCUAGUUUAGGGCAUGUUGCAGCUCUAUAUCUUGCCGUUCCAAGUUGCUUUGCGUUUGAUGUUUGUUCUGGGAUAAAAUAUUGAAUUAUACCUUGAAUUAAUGUUUUGUGAAAUUUAGUUUAAAUAAUUUAGUAGAGAGAUGAGUGCAUAAAGCAUAGGGAUUUUGAAGCUAAAUAUGUUAUAAAAUUUGUCAUUUUAGUGAAUGCAUUCUUUUCUGCUUGUCCUGGUUGUUGCAAGGAGACAUCAAGCAUUGUAAUGGAUGGAUGACGUGUGCAUUUUCUUGGUGGAUAUCUUGGGCAAAUGUGCAAUAUGACGAGGGAUAUCUUGGGCAAAUAUCUUAUAUAAAUUGGUACGAUUGGUUACCUUAAAUUACUAAAGAAGGAUGAUGUUGUAAGGUUAGUGGAUAUUUAUAAUAGUGAUAAAAUGGGGUUUCCCUAUGA
rnacentral:lncRNA from 1 species